CCUACGGCGGGCAGCAGUGGGGAAUAUUGGACAAUGGGCGAAAGCCUGAUCCAGCCAUGCCGCGUGUGUGAAGAAGGCCUUCGGGUUGUAAAGCACUUUCAGUGGGGAAGAAAGCCUUGGGGCUAAUACCCUCGAGGAAGGACAUCACCCACAGAAGAAGCACCGGCUAACUCCGUGCCAGCAGCCGCGGUAAUACGGAGGGUGCGAGCGUUAAUCGGAAUUACUGGGCGUAAAGCGCGCGUAGGCGGUCUGAUAAGCCGGUUGUGAAAGCCCCGGGCUCAACCUGGGAACGGCAUCCGGAACUGUCAGGCUAGAGUGCAGGAGAGGAAGGUAGAAUUCCCGGUGUAGCGGUGAAAUGCGUAGAGAUCGGGAGGAAUACCAGUGGCGAAGGCGGCCUUCUGGACUGACACUGACGCUGAGGUGCGAAAGCGUGGGUAGCAAACAGGAUUAGAUACCCUAGUAGUC
rnacentral:rRNA from 1 species